GCUCCCGCACCCCCCUCCUCGUCGUCCUUCCGAGUCCACGCCCAACGGCUCCGCCGAGAGGCCGCCGCGCUCUCUCCGCCAGGUCAGAUUGCAUCACUGAAGAAAAGAACAAUCAGAAAGGUGUUUGGAAAGUGCUGACAUCUUUAGCCUGGGUUUGGGCUCAAUAAAAAUUUGCAUUAAAAGUAAUGGUGUAUUGGGGAGAAAGAGUGGAAGUUAAAUUAUUUGAGCUGUUCUGAAGUUACUGAUGACUUUUAGUAAGCACAGACAGUCCUCGACUUACAACUGUCCGAGUUACGACGAAUGGCACUUCCGACAUCUAUGAAUUUACACCCUGUUUCAGGUUUACGACAUCAGGCCCGACUUUACAACGCCAGGCUCUUAAGCCUGCCCGGGUUCACCUCCAGCUCCUCGGCUUUGCAGCCCCGGAAGAGAGAGCCGCUGGCAGCAGUGGCAGAAGCUGCCAAAUGCAGAGAAGACUCCGGAAAAACCAACAGCCAAGACUCCAGAGAAGACUGCAGCUAAGAACCCUUCAAAAAAUCCCUCCAAAUCACUUCAACUCCCUCUGGAAAUCUCACCCGAUCAGUUCCACCCAUGACCCCAUUUUCUUUUUCUUGUUAAAAAGGAUAAAAAAAAACCGGCUUUAAAACUUGUCUCUGCAUUUGAGAUCACUUGUAGGGAAGGGUAAUGCACAUGGCAGUGCAGUAGUAAUCAAUCAGUGGUAUUUAUUGAGCACUUACUCUGUGCAGAGCACUGUACUAAGUGCUUUGGCCUGUCCUGGGCUGUCGAAUUGUCUCCAACUGAGUGCUCGGUUGCGUACAAUACAACAGAAUUACCAGACACAUUCCCUGCCCAUAAUGAGCUUACCGUCUAGAGAGGGAGAAAGACAUUAGUAUGACUGAACACAUCAUUUAAAGAUAUGUACAUAAGUGCUUUGGGGUUGGGGGUAGGGCGAAUAUCAGAUGUCCAAAGGUCACAGAUCCAAGUGCAAAUGCUGUAUUUUUAAAUUUCUAUGUGACUUUUAUGUCUGGCUGUUAUUUACAAUAAAUACAUUUAAUGUAGCUAUAUUUGAGUACAUAAUUCAGGUUAUUUUUGUUUAAAAUAGGAAUUCUGACCUUGGUUCAGGAAUCAAUUCCCCCAUUUAUAAAAUUUUUCUUAUGGGAAAAUUGGUCCCAACUUCCAUUUUGGCUUCUGGCAUAAUUUUUAAGAACCUACUGUGCUGUAAGCCUGAGGCCCACCUGUAAUAGGAAACAGUUUAGUGUAAAGUACAGGCCAAAUUCAGUGUUUUAUGUAUUUAGAUCAAAUCCUGUGUUACUCAACAAAUGCCAGCUACAAUAGGAAUUUUCCUCUAUCAUCAUGGGGUUGCAGUGAAUAAUCAUUUAGAUAGUGACCAAAAGGGCAUUUGGGCUUGCGAGUGCCCAGUGGUCACAAGAAGGACCCAUUGUGCCACCCACUGCAGCCAUCUUGACAGCAGCCUGCCACUAUUUACUUCAAUCCCUCAUUACAGCCAGCCACUACAAGCUAAAAAUAGCUCUACUACCCUGGAAAAGGGAGUGCGUAGAAGGGGAUAAACCUUGACCUGGGAAACACUCCCCACUCCCAUUUUAUAAACUGGUCCUGAAUGAUGACAUUGUGUUUCUCUUAACUAGUUAAUCCAAAUAAAUUAACAUGUAGACUGUGAGGUAGAAAAGAAUAGUUAUAGACAUUUAAAGAAGAAAUUGAGGAACUGCACUUGUGUCUACAGAAAAUAGCAUUGUGGGGUGACACUGUCUUAACAUCCAGACUGGAUCACUUUGCUUCACUUGACUUUUUCUUCCAUUUUGAGGGGGAUUGUUUAGAAAAGACCCUCCUGAUGCCUUAUCAGGUUCUUAAGUGCCUCAUCUUUAACUGUUUCUCUGACUCCUAGUAGAUAAACCGUGGAAGGCAAAAAAAAUGUUUUGAUUCAAGCAAGAGUAUUUCUUGGAAACAUUUGCCUCAUUCUUUAGGCCUAGCCCUAGAGUAAGAGGUUUCCUGUCCCAUCAUUAUACACCUACUGGCAGUUCUUUAUUUUUCUUUUAAAAAAAUAAUAAAAAAAAGGAGGGUGACAAGUAGAAAUAAUAUAAUUAUAGUGGCCCCAGUGGUAAACAUUUGCUCUUUCUUACAAAAUAUUGCAAAUCCUUUUUUGGGUUUUUAGAGAAGAGCAGACUUGUGAGUACAGGUGAGAGUUUUCUAGAUCUUCACCUGCAGAUGAGCUUCUAUCCUAAAACUUCAGGGCCAAGAACCGGCACUUGGAAAUUUAUUAUAGUACUGGUAGCUUGUGCAGUGCCACUUAAACUCUCUUCUCCCUGCCAUUCGUGUUCACACUGGAGCCCGGUGUGCAGCAAGCAAGUAGGUGACCACAGGUGCAGCACACUGAAGGGUAUGCAUGGCUGUAAAUCAGGUCUCCUGAUUGCCAGAACCGUGAUUUUUCCACUGAACCGAGAGCCGGGCUCCCCCAAAGUAAGGGCAGAGGGAAGGCUAGGCACCUUGACAGUGGAAAGGAGGAGGAGGAGGAGGAGCAGUGGAACAGGUGAGACGAUCCCUCUUUUCUUCCCCUACCCCCAUCCCCAAGGGUAGUAGGAAAGUUGGACACUGAGGAGGAAUUUUAGUCCUUGUAAGCAUUAUUUUUUAUUAUUAUUAUUUUGAAUCUUUUCACAGCUUCCUUCUGCAGUUUUGGACUGGUUGAGCUGUGAUGCACUUCCCUGCUUCCUUACAGGGCCAGGGUGAACACUGGAGGUUACAGGAUCAGGUUAAACCCUCAGCCAUCAUACAAGGCCUUAUCACUUGGCACCUAGAUUAUUGCAACAGCCUCCUUAAUGGCCUUCAGCCUCUUCUUCCUCCUCUCUAAACUAUAGGCAGCAUCUAGAAUCAUAUCUUUUUUCAGUAUCAAAUUGAUUGUGUCACUUUCCUAAACUCCAUAUUGGCUCCAUAUUGCUACUCAUAUCCAAUCUAAUACUCUAGACAGUGGGCUUCAAAGCUCCCCACCAACUGAUUUCCCUGUAACUAAAUGUUUUUUUCUGCUUUGCCCAAGCCAAUCUGCUCACUCCCCUUGACCACAAGUCUUUACAUAAGCCAUCCUUUUCCCCUAGCACUUCAUAAAUCACAUCCCUAUCCAGCUUAUUCAAAGCUCGACUGAAAAAUCUACUCUUUCCCUUGACCUCAUUUGUGCCAUCCGCUCCAGAAAAUCUCUAGCCAGUACUCUUAAUUCAUUCCAAGAAAAUAGCCUAUUGAAGGGCAAAACACUAUAGUUUCCCAUAAGAAAUCAUGUAGAGCGCAUUAAUGUGUUGCCUAGAUCCAAAGAAAGUUGACCCAAUGAUAUAUGUACAUUUUUAUGUGAUUAAAAAGCAUGAAUGUAGUUGACUAAUUUGCAUGAUCAAAUCGUAGUGUAAAUAUGUUCCAGUCAGAAAAUAUUGUUAAUUUUAACAGUUAAACGUUAAUAUAUGUUUGCAUGGAGAAAAAGUUUCACCAGAUGUUUUGCAUAUGGGAUUUUAAUGCCUACCUGAUUCCAGAUACUUGAGCGCAUCUAAGUUAACUUCCAGACUUAAGCUCUUUUGAUAUUUGCUACUUGCAGUCCCGGGCUCUGCUCAAAUAUUCUUCCAACUGCUGUUUUCCUGGCUAUCCCUGUUACUGCCCAGUACACUGCUUCUGUGUUGCACGAUUUGAUAUUUGCUUUGAGGUCAGUAUGAAUUGUAACGUCUCUCUUUGAGAAAUGAUGAAGGUCAGUGUGAUUGAAACAGCUGUGUCUUUAGUGCUGGGUAGUGGACCCAGAUGGGCCCAGCACACAAAGCAUGUAAACUGCUCAGAGCAUGUGCAUGGCAAAACCAGCUCGCUUUCACAAAGGCCAAGAGCACUGUAAGGAAUACUGCCAUUAACAUUUGGGAGCAUUAUCACAGAAAGCGUCCUAAUGGGGGAUUGCUAUGUGAUAUUCAUAAUAUCUUUAGUUCUGUCAUGGGUACUCAUUUCCUCCUGUCUGUUCAUGUGCUUUUUAAUUAAUGUGCAGAUUUGUAUCUGUGUUUCUCUUGUCUCCCCUGCUGAAUUGUGAACUUCACAAGGGCAUGAUUCCUGUCCUAUUCUUGUAUAGUACCCCUCAGUUCCUAGCACAGUGCUCUGUACAAAGUAGAUGCUCAAUAAGAACUCCUGAUAAUGAUGAUUUUAUUCUGGAAACUGUAGCUGUAAAAAGGGAAGUCGCUGAGGCAAAGCCAUUUUUUUUCCUUUUGCUGUCUUGGAAAUUCUUAGUAGGGACACAUUUAGCCUAGUUUCAUUUAAACCAACCUCCCAACUAGACUGGUCCUGUUAUUUUGCUUAACGGGCAAGAUCUAAUGCCUGUGACUGCAGUAAAAUCCACCAGCUUGACCAAGAUUUUGCACACUGGCAAUUCCUGCCUACCCGGGAUUAGACCAUACUGUAGUAUUGAUCAAAUCCUGAAAUGGGGCGUGGUCCUGGGAUGCAGGCUGAAAAGAAUUUCAGACUUGACUGAGAAGUGAAAUUAGCGAACUGAGUAAAACCCAGAGGAGGCAGAGUACUGGGGAACGAGUUGCAGAUUGUAUGUGGCAAUAUUCAACACAUGUUUAAUGUCCCUAUGUGAUAUGAUUAUCAGGGUGGUUUGGGGUUUUUGUUUUGUGAAGUUUCUUUGAUAAAGUUAUGCAAAAUGUUGUGAGUAAAAAUUCCUUCAGAACUGGAUUAUUUUUUUUUGCUUUGGAUUUCAAACUGAAUUAUUUAAGUGUUCACUAAGUGGAGCACUGGGGCAUUUUAUAGAAUUAAACAUUCUUGGAAACUGACUUAAUAGACUUUUUUGCUCCACAAAAUUAAUGACACAUUUAAGAUACAGUAUGCAGAUUAAAGCUACACAAUUUGUAAUAUUGGAGGGGGAGACCCGAGACUCCCGAGGACUCUACUAAGAAAAAUUUACCAUGAUAGCCUAGAGUGACUGAGUAUAUGCAUCUCCCUAAAAAGACAAAAUUUGCCAUCUUCCACCAGUAGGCUCACGCUCUUGAAGUUGUAGCCAAUCUCAUGCACUCAUUUGGCUUUCAUUAAGGCAACUAAGAGGAAUAAAAAUAUUAUAUAGUAUUUACAACCGGGUGAGACAGAAACUCAAACCAACCUGUGAAGUAGGGAUGUCAAAUAAGGAUGGUGAUUUGAGAGAUAAUUUCAUUGUCAACUUUUUCUAGGGAAGGGUGGAAAGGAGAGUCAACAGGUGGAGCAGUCAAAGGGAGAUGGUGUUGUGAAGCAAAUAAGGACUAUAUGCAUGUUCAUUUGUGGGGCAAAGGUAGAAGAAUCACCCUGAAAACCCUUGUUGUAGCAGGACUUCUAAAAGAUUUUUUGCCAUAUAGGAAAAAAAAGUGACAAAGUAGAAGCAUGAAAGACAGUGAAGAACAAGAGUAGUAGAGGUAAAACAUUUAUGUGAAAAAACUAAACAUUUCUAAAUUGAUAAAUAUUACAUGAUUUUUAUCCAUCCAUUUUAAACUAGUUUGUCAGUAGUGGUAGCGUAAGGCUACUGAUUUGGUUUGGAAACAUGAACGAUAAUUUAAAAAUAUGCCGAAAUCUGUUGUGGAACUUUUAGGUGAAGAUCGUACACUGAACUGUAAUGGUUUUAACUCUCUUUUUAGAAUAAAAUGGAAUAUUGUUAAUGUCAGGCUCUUCAAUUCUAUUCUGUUGUUCUUGACUUUAUA